GGACAGGCAAGCAGUGGUAGUUGGUGUCGUGGUGACUAACCUAAUUUUGACAUUCCAUGAUGCAGUUAUAUUUACAUGAUUUCAGCUUAGAAACAGUGAUUUUGUAGAACUUUCCCAAUUAAUGCUUCUAGACCAUGUGGUAUGUCCUUAAAUUCAGUGUUGGGUCUGUUUUUUUACUCUAUCUCAGGGUUGCCCUCUUCACGUAAAUGUAUUUAAAACACAUCUGCUUACCUGUAAGAUGAUCCCCUUUGAACAUUGUAAUAGCUUACGAAUACUAAUAGCCUCUACUAAGAGAUCAG